rfam:Triticum aestivum genome assembly, contig: Triticum_aestivum_CS42_TGACv1_scaffold_500255_6BL
UAACUACUCCCUCUGUUCGAAAAUACUUGUCAUCAAAAUGAAUAAAAAAUGAUGUAUUUAGAUGUAUUUUAGUUCUAGAUAUAUCUUUUUUAUCUAUUUUGAUGACAAGUAUUUUCGGACGGAGGAAGUACUUU